rnacentral:rRNA from 1 species
CUUUAAAGAAUAUUCAAUUAAUUUUAAUUUUAAAUAGUACAGUUAUAAAGCUAAACAAUCUUACUCUUAUCCCAUUUUGUAGUUAAACCCAUAUAAUAAACAAAUAUAAUUAAAAUUUAAAAUAAUAAAAAUUAUUUAAAUUUAAAACUAAUUAAGAAAAUUUUAGCAAAGUAGAAUUUUUUGUUUGUACCUUUUGUAUCAGGGUUUGUUAAUAUUUAAAGUUGAUAGCUAUCAUCUCGAAAGUAGGUUACAUAGAAUUUAAAUAAAAUUAAUGUAGAAUUAUUAAAUUAAAUAAAAUUCUAGAUUUGAAAUUAAUUCAAACCGACUAUAUCUAGUUACUAAAAAAUUUAUUUAAAAUAAAAUCUAUUAAUUAAUAAAUUUUAAUUAAAUUUAGAUAGCUUAAGAUUCCUAAAGAUAAGUUUUGGAAUAAGAUAUAUUAACAAUUCAAAUUAACUUGGGUAAGAUUAAAAUUUUCUAUCAUAAAAUAUGUUAAAAUAUUACAAAUUCUAAUCAAAAAUUUUAAUUGGAAUUAUCAACUAAUUUAGUUUUUAUUACAUCAUAACUGAUAAAAAUCAAAUGACAAAAUUACUAUACUAAUAAAUUUAAACAUAAAAAAUUAGGCAAACAAAAAAAUUUUCAACUGUUUAUCAAAAACAUAGUUUAUGGUAAAUUUCUUAAAUACACUCUGCUCAAUGAAAAUUAAAUAGCUGCAGUAAAUUAACUGUACUAAGGUAGCAUAAUCAAUUGUUUUUUAAUUAAAAAAUGGAAUGAAGGAAGAAAUGAAAAAUUUUCUUUUUAAAUAUUAAAAAGUAAAACUUAAUUUUUGAGUGAAAAAUCUUAAAUUUCAUUUAAAAGACAAGAAGACCCUUUAGAAUUUUACAUCUAAAAGGUAAAAUUUUAUGAUAUGAUGUUUGGUUGGGGAGACUAUAAAACACGAAUCCUUUAUUUUUUGUAAUCACAUAAUUAGUGCUAUAAAACAAUCCAACUUAUUGAAUUUAAACCAAAUUACCUAAGGGAUAACAGCGUAAAAUUUUUUGAAAGAUCAAAUUUAUAAAAUUUAUUACGACCUCGAUGUUGGAUUAAGAAUUGAUUACCAAAGAAAAAUUUGUAAAUCAUGGUCUGUUCGACCAUUAAAAUCUUACAUGAUCUGAGUUCAGACCGGCGUAAGCCAGGUCAGCUUAUAUCUUUAAACUUAAAAUUUGCUAUAGUACGAAAGGAUUUAGUAAACUAAAUAAUUUA